GAAUUUUCCAAAUAGACUGCCAGCAGAAAUUCUGUUUCCAGGAAGCCAAGCUACUGGUAAACGAAGAAAAACAAAAUUUCUUCAAUCAAUUCUUCUUGUUCUUCAAUCUCUGCUCUAUUCUAUUCUCAUAUUCUCUUUGAAAAAAAUUUUCAAUGGCUGCUGAUUUGAAGAAAUUAGAAUACCUUUCCCUGUUAUCUCACGUUUGUUCCGAGCUCCAAACCCACUUAGGAUUUGCAGACAAAGUAUUGGCUGAAUUCGUCACGGAAUUGGGUCGUACUUGUAAUUCUUUCCCGGAAUUCCAAUCCAAACUGAAGGAAAACGGGGCUGAAUUGCCUGAAUACUUGGUCAGAAAUCUCAUUAAGAUCAUUCAUGCCAUUCUUCCGCCGCCGAAAUUGGAUGAGAAAUUAGGGAAGGAGGGCUUGAUUGGUGGUGGAAUUGGGAAACCGGAGAGUCGUGUGUAUAAGGGUAGAGUUUCGAGAGUUAUGGAUAUGGGAUGUUUUGUUGGGUUGGAUGAGUUUAAGGGUAAGGAGGGUUUGGUUCAUGAAUCCGAUUUUUUUGAUGGGAAUAUCAAGGAUGUGCGAAUUGGGGAGGAGGUUUAUGUAAAAGUUGUUUCUGAUUCACCUGGGCGAAAAAGGUUGAGGCUUUCCAUGAAGGAUGUUGAUCAGGAUACUGGUAAGGAUUUGAGAUUGUUGAAGAAGGAGAAGGUCAAUAGUGAUAAUUUGAGGACUAGGUUAAAAGAAAGACGCAUGAUUAGGACUGGUGUUUCUGGAAUUAAGAUGAGCUUAGAAGUGGAAGACAGAGAUGAUGGGCAAAGAAGGAUGAGAAUGAGCUAUCCGGACGAGUAUGAAUUUAAUCAGUUGAUUGCUUCAGGGGUUUUGAGUGUGAGAGAGUAUCCUGUGUGUGAUGGUCAUGAGGAUGAUGCAGAGGCUGAGGAAGAGAUUGAGGUAGAGCUGAAUGAGGAUGAACCAGCCUUUCUGAGAGGGAAAACUAGACAUAGUACUGGUAUCGAUAUGUCCCCUGUGAAGAUAUUUAAGAAUCCAGAAGGAUCAAUGAGUCGUGCAGCUGUACUUCAGUCUGCACUCAUGAAGGAACAGAGAGAAGUGCGUGAAGAGAAGCUGAGGAGGAUACUUGAUUGGAUACCUAAGGAUCUUAAUCGUUCUUGGGAAGACCCAAUGCCUGAGACUGGAGAUAGGCAUCUUGCCCAGGAGCUUAGGGACGUUGGCUCAUCUGCAUAUAGCAUACCAGAAUGGAAGAAGGAUACCUUUGGGAAAUCGUUCACUUUUGGGCAAAGGUCGAAGUUAUCCAUCCAGGAACAGAGGCAGUGCUUGCCUAUUUACAGGUUAAAGGAGGAAUUAGUUAAGGCUGUGAUUGACAACCAGGUGCUAGUUGUUAUUGGUGAGACUGGCUCAGGGAAGACUACACAGAUAACCCAGUAUCUUGCAGAGGCUGGUUACACAGCAAGUGGGAAAAUUGGCUGCACUCAGCCACGUAGGGUAGCUGCAAUUUCUGUGGCAAAGAGGGUGGCGGAAGAGUUUGGUUGUCGUUUAGGAGAGGAAAUUGGUUAUGCUGUUCGCUUUGAGGACUGCACAGGACCUAAUACCGUGAUCAAGUACAUGACUGAUGGUUUACUUCUCAGGGAAAUUUUGAUUGACAAGAGUCUGUCUCAGUACUCAGUCAUUAUGCUUGAUGAGGCUCAUGAAAGGACGAUUUACACUGAUGUUCUUUUUGGCCUGCUGAAGCAACUUCUAAAAAGGAGAUCUGAUCUCCGUUUGAUUGUAACAUCUGCCACGCUUGAUGCAGAAAAGUUUUCUGGCUAUUUCUUUAGCUGCAAUAUUUUCACUAUUCCUGGAAGAUCUUUUCCUGUGGAGAUAAUGUAUACCAAACAGCCAGAAAGUGAUUACCUUGAUGCAGCUCUGACAACAGUUCUACAAAUACACUUGACAGAACCUGAAGGAGAUAUUCUUCUCUUCUUGACAGGCCAGGAAGAAAUAGAUUGCGCAUGUGAGUCUCUUGGUACGAGGAUGAAAGGGCUGGGUAAAAAUGUUCCAGAGAUGAUUAUUUUGCCUGUAUAUAGUGCACUUCCUGGUGAAAUGCAAUCAAGGAUAUUUGAACCAGCUCCUCCAGGGAAGAGGAAAGUGGUUGUGGCAACCAAUAUUGCUGAGGCUUCUUUGACGAUAGAUGGAAUUUUCUAUGUCAUUGAUCCUGGAUUUAUGAAACAAAAUGUUUAUAAUCCAAAGCUAAGGGUUGAAUCUCUGGUUAUAACUCCUAUUUCACAAGCAUCGGCCAAGCAACGAGCUGGGCGUGCUGGGCGUACUGGCCCUGGAAAGUGCUACCGCCUAUACACUGAGAGUGCAUUUCGUAAUGAGAUGUCCCCUACUACAACUCCAGAAAUCCAAAGGGUUAACCUUGCAGAAACCAUGCUCACCAUGAUGGCCAUGGGAAUUAGAGAUCCCUUCUCUUUUGAUUUUAUGGAUAUGCCUUCAUCCCCAGCCCUCGUUUCUGCCAUGGAACAACUGUAUAGUCUAGGUUGUCUGGAUGAGGAGGGGCUUCUGACUAAACCAGGAAGACUAAUGGCGGAAUUUCCUAUUGAUCCACCACUGGCUAAAAUGUUGUUGGCUAGUGUUGAUCUUGGGUGCAGUGAUGAGAUUUUGACUAUUAUUGCCAUGGUCCAAACUGGUAACGUAUUCUACAGGCCAAGGGAAAAACAAGCUCAAGCAGAUCAGAAGAGGGCUAACUUUUUCUGUCCAGAAGGGGACCAUCUGACUUUACUUGCUGUAUAUGAGGCCUGGAAAGCUAAAGGUUUCUCAGGGCCUUGGUGUUCUGAGAAUUUUGUUCAGUCUCGAUCAUUAAGGAGGGCACAGGAUGUUAGAAAACAACUUCUAACCAUCAUGGAUAAGUAUAAGCUAGAUGUUGGGAGUGCUGGAAAGGAUUUUAAGAAGAUAAGGAAAGCAAUUACCGCAGGAUUCUUUUUCCAAACAGCUAGAAAGGAUCCACAAGGUGGUUAUCGGAGCCUAGUUAACAAUCAGAUAGUUUAUAUCCACCCAAGUAGUGCUCUUUUCCACAGAAAACCAGACUGGGUCAUCUAUCAUGAGGCAGUAAUGACUACAAAGGAGUACAUGCGUGAGGUAACUGUUAUAGACCCUAAAUGGCUUAUAGAACUGGCACCAAGAUUCUUCAGAGCUGCAGAUCGAACAAAGAUGAGCAAGCGCAAACGUCAAGAACGCACUGAACCGCUUUAUGAUAGAUAUCAUGAACCUAAUUCUUGGCGCCUCAGUAAACGGCGAGCUUAGUACAUGCUUUGGCAAUUCUGAGUAUACUGGUUUUUGGAAUGGUGUAUUUUUAUUUUGAUUGUUUAGUACUCUCUUAAUUUGGUUUUUAUUUUUUUUUUAAUUUUUUCUUAGAUUUUUAGAAAUAUUUACCUGAACUCAACUUAGCAUCAGUGUUAAACAGGUUUGGCUUGAUUAUAAUCCUUUUCGUCCAUCUUGUUCACAUUGGAUCGAUGUCAGAGAGAUAUAGCUAGUAUCCUGCUGUCAGUUAACCUAAUGCAGUCCUCCUUGAAUCAUAAGGUGAUUUUUCAUAUGGAUGAAUUCGUGGAUGAUACAGGAAAUUUCUUCUGAUAUUCUAAACUGGAUGUUAAACUGCUGAUUGUUUAACUUCUCUUACUAUUAUGUUUUCUUGUUGAUUUUUUUCUUUUUCAUCCUUUAAGGUUAGUCUUAUUAGCACUUUAACCUGCAAAGUAACUACUUAUGUAUUUUAGAUUAUUUUAAUGUCAAAUCUUUUAUUUUUUGCCUCUCAUUACUGACAUAUUGCUUGUUGAACUAAAAUUUAGUUGCAUUAGUUGCUUGUGAUAAGUUUUUAGCUUAUCAACUAUCCUCGAUAUACAGCAUAAACAUUUAAAGUUAAUUCUGUUGCACAACUGUUUUCUCUAUAGUGUGAAGCAAUGAAAAUAUACCACAUAAAAUGUGUUAUUUACUUCCUGUUUAAAUAGAUUCAUUUCACUCGUUUGAUGCCAUGCUCUUAUCUGCCAUUGUGAUAAUUAUUUGCUAAAAUGGUGUUGAUGCACGUCUGCAUGCAUGGAGAUGAAAAUGUUCUAUAUGUUUUAUGUCCAUGUCACUGUUAAGCAUUUCCUUCUGAGCUUGCUGACUAUUCCAAUUGCACUGCAAACAAUGAAAGCAAAUCUUCAGCCUUCUUUCUGUUACUUUACUAAUUUCAUAGGAAAUCUUUAGGCCUUCAAAAAGUUUCAAGGAGCAUUGCGUCUUGCGCAUUACAAAUCAUGUGUAUGCUUUGCUUUGAUAGUUCAAUAUUGUGAUUCAAGGUCAACAUGUUGCAUUUAUUUUAUAUAAGAAGUAGGGGAACAGCAAAUUUUCAGAAAUGGAUUAUUAAUGACAUUAUUACUCUUCAUCUCUUCCUUACUGAACUUCAUAUUUGCCAUGUGGCAGCUUGCAGAGCAGAAUGUCAGCAGUCUUUGAAGAAGCAAGCAAGCUGAUGAAUCAAAAUCAUAUCUACCGUAGCCUUUGAGGGAUCCUUCCCAUUUUCUUGUUUUGUCCUCUUUCCUAUUAUAAAGUGCCAUUUGUUUUGUGUGCUUGCUUACACCUAUGCACUUGAAUUUAACAGAAUGUUGCCUGGAUUUUAGGAAAUUAAGGUGUCAUUUAGAGGACUGAAUAGGGCAAGUUUUUGCUAUUGAAGAGGUAAAUUCUUUUUAUGUUCUUAUAUAGGAAGGAACUUGGUGCUUUCAGACUUUCAGCAUAUAACUUUUUAAUUAUAAAACAGAUCAUCUAUAUGUACCAUUGGAGAAAUAUAACUUUUGAAAUAAGAAUCAGCUAUCAAAAGUUCCAUAGGAGAAGGGAGUCUCUUUUCAUGAUAUUUGCAAAUAGGAUCAUCAUGUAGAUUACUUUUCUCAUUUAAAUGAUUCUCUGUUUGAUGUUUAUGUGAUAUAUGCAUUCAUUCUAUGGGUUAGUCUGCAUAAUGUAGGAUUACAUUCAUAUGUCACUUUUUUCUUGGUUGUGUGAGUAGUAAAAAUGUAUUUGAAAGAAUCAAUCCACUUAAUCUGGGAUGAUAUUCACAUGGCUAUAUUCUGUUUGCUACUUGACAGUGGAAAUACAUAGGCAUCUAUCUUUCUUUUUACUCAAUACUGACCCCACUCAACUGUCAAAAUCUGGUGCAAGAAAACCUGUCCAUGUGAGUUUGACUUCAUGAGGUGAUGGGGUGAUGGUUGGGUAUUUCCCAAAGAGGUUGGCAUUGAUGAAUCUGUGGUGGUGGUCAAAAGCAAUGAAAUAAAUCUCAUGCACGGAUUUCAUUGUUGUCUGCAUUUUAUAUGGAUGUGAAGCAAAAUCUACAAUAUGGUGACUGGGAUUUUGCUAUAUGAUCACUUAAUGGUGGGUGAAGU
rnacentral:misc_RNA from 1 species